GUCAAUAUAUGCUCGUUACGUGCAUCGUGUCCUUUCAAAAUAAACUUCCAUUUCCACAGGAAGCAGGGUUGAGGCAACACAACUACUUAGGUAGGGUAAGGAAACGGUCAUGGUUGACGUUAACUUCACUGACUAGCGACUCACGUGACUCACGGGGCUGACGAUACCGACGAGUCACGUGACUAACAACUGAUGAAAUUCCGGUCUCCCUGUUGAAAG